GAUGAAGAACGCAUCGAAAUGCGAUAAGUAGUGUGAAUUGCAGAAUUCAGUGAAUCAUCGAAUCUUUGAACGCACAUUGCGCCCUUUGGUGUUCCUUAGGGCAUGCCUGUUCGAGCGUCAUUUAAACCUUCAAGCUAAGCUUGGUGUUGGGUGACUGUCCGCUUCACGGCGGACUCGCCUCAAAAUUAUUGGCGGCCGGUACAUUGGCUUCGAGCGCAGCAGAAACGCGAACUCGGGCCCGUCGUAUUGGCUCCCAGAAGCUAUCUUCACAAUUUUGACCUCGGAUCAGGUAGGGAUACCCGCUGAACUUAAGCAUAUCAAUAAGCGGAGGA
rnacentral:misc_RNA from 1 species